rnacentral:rRNA from 1 species
GACGGACGCUGGCGGCGUGCUUAACACAUGCAAGUCGAACGGAAAGGCCCUGCUUUUGUGGGGUGCUCGAGUGGCGAACGGGUGAGUAACACGUGAGUAACCUACCCUUGACUUUGGGAUAACUUCAGGAAACUGGGGCUAAUACCGGAUAGGAGCUCCUGCUGCAUGGUGGGGGUUGGAAAGUUUCGGCGGUUGGGGAUGGACUCGCGGCUUAUCAGCUUGUUGGUGGGGUAGUGGCUUACCAAGGCUUUGACGGGUAGCCGGCCUGAGAGGGUGACCGGCCACAUUGGGACUGAGAUACGGCCCAGACUCCUACGGGAGGCAGCAGUGGGGAAUAUUGCACAAUGGGCGGAAGCCUGAUGCAGCAACGCCGCGUGCGGGAUGACGGCCUUCGGGUUGUAAACCGCUUUCGCCUGUGACGAAGCGUGAGUGACGGUAAUGGGUAAAGAAGCACCGGCUAACUACGUG